UACGUAGGGGGCAAGCGUUGUCCGGAUUUAUUGGGCGUAAAGAGCGUGUAGGCGGCCAGGGAGGUCCGUUGUGAAAACUCGAGGCUCAACCUCGAGACGCCGAUGGAAACCCCCUGGCUAGAGUCCGGAAGAGGAGAGUGGAAUUCCUGGUGUAGCGGUGAAAUGCGCAGAUAUCAGGAAGAACACCCGUGGCUAAGGCGGCUCUCUAGUACGGUACUGACGCUGAGACGCGAAAGCCAGGGGAGCGAACGGG
rnacentral:rRNA from 1 species